rnacentral:snoRNA from 1 species
UAGCAAGGCUCAAGUGUGCCUGGGUCUGCUGUGACCCUGUGCAUUCCUACAGUUUUGAGACAGUUUGAGGACUUGCCCUGCUCCAUCCAGAGCAAGGUUAUAGAAAUUUCAGACAAUC